AGAACGAACGCUGGCGGCAUGCCUAAUACAUGCAAGUCGAACGAACACUUCGGUGUUAGUGGCGCACGGGUGCGUAACGCGUGGGAAUCUGCCCUUGGGUUCGGAAUAACAGUUGGAAACGACUGCUAAUACCGGAUGAUGACGAAAGUCCAAAGAUUUAUCGCCCAGGGAUGAGCCCGCGUAGGAUUAGCUAGUUGGUGAGGUAAAGGCUCACCAAGGCGACGAUCCUUAGCUGGUCUGAGAGGAUGUUCAGCCACACUGGGACUGAGACACGGCCCAGACUCCUACGGGAGGCAGCAGUAGGGAAUAUUGGACAAUGGGCGCAAGCCUGAUCCAGCAAUGCCGCGUGAGUGAUGAAGGCCUUAGGUUGUAAAGCUCUUUUACCCGAGAUGAUAAUGACAGUAUCGGAGAAUAAGCCCGGCUAACUCCGUGCCAGCAGCCGC
rnacentral:rRNA from 1 species